CACCUCUUAGUUUCUAUAAACAACCAUGAAUCCCCCAACAGCGUCAUCCAUGUUGGCUUUAGUCUUCUUCUUGGUUAUUAUUGCUGCAGGUGUUGAACCCCUGGAGAAAUCCUCAUUCAAUUUAUCAUUAAUAGAAGAGGCAGAAGAAGAGCUAGUACCAGUUGCAGGAACAAAAAUGGAGUUCAAAGGUAUCGGCGAUGUGUUUAGGCGGCGACAAUUAGGUGAUCUCCCAAGGUGUCUGAUCUGCACUUGUUGUAAUAGAUCUGUUCCGAAGAAGUGCAUAAAAAAGUUGUGUUGUCAUCAUCUCAAAUGCAAGUUUAUCGUUUGUACCUGGCAGCCCAUCGCUUGCAAUUGUGACAAUUGUAACUGAUAUAUAUGAUUAUAUUUUACUUUAAAAGUAUUUAGAAAGAAUCUAUUGAAAAAUAAAAAUAAAAAUAUUUGUAAUGGAAAAAUUGAAUAUGUAAUGGGAACCUAUCAAUUUAAAAUUAUUAGUUGUUAGUUUGUUA